rnacentral:rRNA from 1 species
AGAGAGAGACAUGCGUGCAUAUCAAUAAGCGGAGGAAAAGAAACUAACAUAGGAUUCCCCUCAGUAACGGCGAGUGAAGCGGGAAGAGCUCAAAUUUGAAAUCUUCAAGGGUUCUACCUUUACGAAUUGUAGUUUAAAGAAGUGUUUUUCUGUUGAGGUUUUGGUAAAAGUUCUUUGGAAUAGGACAUCAUAGAGGGUGAGAAUCCCGUAUUUGACCUUUACUUUCAACUUUGUGAUACACUUUCAAAGAGUCGGAUUGUUUGGGAAUGCAGUCCAAAAUGGGUGGUAAAUUUCAUCUAAAGCUAAAUAUUGGCGAGAGACCGAUAGCGAACAAGUACCGUGAGGGAAAGAUGAAAAGAACUUUGAAAAGAGAGUUAGACAGUACGUGAAAUUGUCAAAAGGGAAGCGUUUGACACCAGUGUUGUUUUUCUGAAAAUCAAUUAAAGAACUGUUUAUGCUAAGUUGUUUAGACUUUAUCAGCUAACUGUUUAGUUUUGAGCUUUUCUUUAAUGCACUUUUCAGUUAACAAGUCAGCAUCAAUUUCUUUUGCUGUAAAAAAGCUUGAGGAAGGUGGCUUGAGAUUCGUCUUAAGUGUUUUAUAGCCUCUUGCCUAUGCAGUCGGAGAGAUUGAGGUCUGCAGCGUAGAUCCUUCGGGGCUAAAUGCAUUUGUGCUAAGUUAUAGCAUUUUAUAGACAACUUGUUGACUAUGAUUUGUCUUGUAGCUUACUCGCUUAUGUUAUUUUACCUACGCUUAGGAUGUUGAGCGCAUGUCUCUCUCU